AUUGAACGCUGGCGGCAGGCCUAACACAUGCAAGUCGAGCGGAGCGGCGGUCGGGUGAGUAAUGCUAAGGCAUCUGCCUGGUAGUGGGGGAUAACGUCCGGAAACGGGCGCUAAUACCGCAUAAUAUCAGAUUAGCCUAGGGCGGAUUAGCUAGUUGGUGGGGUAGAGGCCUACCCAGGCGACGAUCCGUAACUGGCAUGAGCUGAUGAUCAGUCACCCUGGAACUGAGACACGGUCAAGACUCCAACGGGAGGCAGCAGUGGGGAAUAUUGGACAAUGGGCGAAAGCCUGAUCCAGCCAUGCCGCGUGUGUGAAGAAGGUCUUCGGGUUGUAAAGCACUUUAAGUUGGGAGGCGUUACCAACAGAAUAAGCACCGGCUAACUUCGUGCCAGCAGCCGCGGUAAUUC
rnacentral:rRNA from 1 species